rnacentral:rRNA from 1 species
UGGGGAAUUUUGGACAAUGGGCGAAAGCCUGAUCCAGCCAUGCCGCGUGAGUGAAGAAGGCCUUCGGGUUGUAAAGCUCUUUUAGUCGGAAAGAAAGAGUUGCAAUGAAUAAUUGUGAUUUAUGACGGUACCGACAGAAAAAGCACCGGCUAACUACGUGCCAGCAGCCGCGGUAAUACGUAGGGUGCGAGCGUUAAUCGGAAUUACUGGGCGUAAAGGGUGCGCAGGCGGUUUUGCAAGUCAGAUGUGAAAGCCCCGGGCUUAACCUGGGAAUUGCGUUUGAAACUACAAGACUAGAGUGCAGCAGAGGGGAGUGGAAUUCCAUGUGUAGCAGUGAAAUGCGUAGAGAUGUGGAAGAACACCGAUGGCGAAGGCAGCUCCCUGGGUUGACACUGACGCUCAUGCACGAAAGCGUGGGGAGCAAACA